CGCCCCUUCUCAGACACCUCUUAGCCUAUCCCUUCUUCUCCUCAAUGCGCACACCAGGCUUGGUCCAGUUUUAUCCUUUCUGACCAGAAGUCCACUCCAGCUGGUCCCCCUGUGCCCUCGGGCAGCAGGCCUCUUUCCAGGCCACAGCCGGCUCCAGCCUCUGCCCCCUCUUUCCUGCAGGCUCCUGGAUUUGACUUCUCAGUGGCUGGGCCUGCCUCUCUGGUGGGCCUUCAUCCUCCCAGGCCAGGCCUACUCCCCGGAUUCUCGCUUCCCAUGCCUUACAGCUGGGGCAUGCGGCUGUGCGAACCCCACUCCCGGGACUGUUGCCCACCCUAGACCCGCCCCUUUAGCCCAGAGCAUAAGCCCUGCCAUCUUCCUGGCCUCUCUCCAUGCCACUUCCCUAACUGCCCUCGCCCCACUUCCCGGCCGCCUGGUCUGCCCUUCGCCAGCCCACCCGCGCCCGCCCCCCCUCGCGUCGUGCUGCAGACGGCAUCCCGUCCCCCCCCAACACCAUUCUCUCCCCACCCUAAUCCGGUGCUCAGAACAGGCUGGAAGGGUAUUCCAGAAGCUUGAGGAAGGGGUGAUAGCUUGGGGCGAGGGGUGCUUGGGGCCUGGAUGCCCUCAAGGUCCUUGGCGGGGGUAUUAAUAGCAGACUCAUAGCUCUGAGAAGGGAGGGGAGAGCGAGAGGAGAGAGGGAGAGGGACAGCCAGCGAGGGGGGAGCCCGAUGCGGGCAGGGGGAUGCAGAGGGAAGAUGGGAUGGAGAGACGGGGAGGGGGGGGAUAGAGAUACGGGGUGUCAGGUAUGCGGGGCUGGGGAGAGGGUGCAAAGUGUCAGAGAAAUGGGGGGUUAGGAGGCCUGAGGAGCGGGGACCCAGGAGAAAGGGGCUCAGAGAGGGAGAAAGAGGGGGCAGAGGAGAGUCCCCAGGAGACAAGGGAGCCCGCCAGGGGCAGAGACCCCAGCUCACCAUGCAAUCCCCCCUCCUUCCCUGAGGCCCCUGGCCAACUUUCCCUGUCCUAGAUCUGGGGGUCCACAUACCCCCACCCCCGCAGUCCCUUCCCGGGCCUUACCUUUUCAUGACCCUGUUGUGUGUGGGGUAUCGCGGGGGGGCAGGACCGGAGCCCAGAGUCCAGCGACCCGAAGAUUCCGCGGAGGGCUCAGGGAACCGCUGGGGGCCAGGCCCCAGGGCGGCGGUGGCGGCAGCGGUGGCAGCGGUGGCGGUGGCAGUGGCGGCGGUGGGGACCUCCUGCCCGUCCCUGGCUCCGGCUCUCCCUCCUCGUCUUCGGUCCCGUCCUGCCCUGUCUGUCCCCCAAGGUUGCGGCCACCCCAACUAGGCGAGGACGCCGCUACACAUGUUGCGCUAGAAGUUGGGCCCCGGACAUUGCGGAGGCUGUCGGGGUGUCCUCUCGCCGCCCCGACCCCGUGGGGAUCCCCCCUCCGCCCACCUGGGGUGCCCCCCUCUGCCGCUUCAGCC
rnacentral:lncRNA from 12 species